rnacentral:rRNA from 1 species
CAGCCGCCGCGGGAAUACAGAGGGUGCGAGCGUUAAUCGGAUUUACUGGGCGUAAAGCGUGCGUAGGCGGCUUUUUAAGUCGGAUGUAAAAUCCCUGAGCUUAACUUAGGAAUUGCAUUCGAUACUGGGAAGCUAGAGUAUGGGAGAGGAUGGUAGAAUUCCAGGUGUAGCGGUGAAAUGCGUAGAGAUCUGGAGGAAUACCGAUGGCGAAGGCAGCCAUCUGGCCUAAUACUGACGCUGAGGUACGAAAGCAUGGGGAGCAAACAGGAUUAGAUACCCGUGUAGUCCCUGUCUCUUAUAC